rnacentral:rRNA from 1 species
UCAGACGAUGCGUCAUGCAUAUCAAUAAGCGGAGGAAAAGAAACUAACAAGGAUUCCCCUAGUAACGGCGAGUGAAGCGGGAAGAGCUCAAAUUUGAAAUCUUAAAGGGUUUCCCUUUACGAAUUGUAGUUUAAAGAAGUGUUUUCUGUUGAGGUUUUGGUAAAAGUUCUUUGGAAUAGGACAUCAUAGAGGGUGAGAAUCCCGUAUUUGACCUUUACUUUCAACUUUGUGAUACACUUUCAAAGAGUCGGAUUGUUUGGGAAUGCAGUCCAAAAUGGGUGGUAAAUUUCAUCUAAAGCUAAAUAUUGGCGAGAGACCGAUAGCGAACAAGUACCGUGAGGGAAAGAUGAAAAGAACUUUGAAAAGAGAGUUAAACAGUACGUGAAAUUGUCAAAAGGGAAGCGUUUGACACCAGUGUUGUUUUUCUGAAAAUCAAUUAAAGAACUGUCUAUGCUAAGUUGUUUAGACUUUAUCAGCUAUCUGUUUAGUUUUGAGCUUUUCUUUAAUGCACUUUUCAGUUAACAAGUCAACAUCAAUUUCUUUUGCUGUAAAAAAGCUUGAGGAAGGUGGCUUGAGAUUCGUCUUAAGUGUUUAUAGCCUCUUGCCUAUGCAGUCGGAGAGAUUGAGGUCUGCAGCGUAGAUCCUUCGGGGCUAAAUGCAUUUGUGCUAAGUUAUAGCAUUUUAUAGACAACUUGUUGACUAUGAUUUGUCUUGUAGCUUACUCGCUUAUGUUAUUUUACCUACGCUUAGGAUGUUGAGCGCAUGUCUCUCUCU